rnacentral:tRNA from 1 species
CAGGGAAUAGUUUAUUAAAAUAUUAAUUUUGGAGAUUAACGUUAAGGUGGAUAACCUUUUCUCUGA